rnacentral:rRNA from 1 species
GAUGAGCGCUGGCGGCGUGCCUAAUACAUGCAAGUCGAGCGGUAACAGGGAGAGCUUGCUCUCCGCUGACGAGCGGCGGACGGCUGAGUAACACGUAGGAAUGUACCCCAAAGUGAGGGAUAACUGCUCGAAAGAGUAGCUAAUACCGCAUGUGAUCCACGGAUUAAAGCUUUAUGCGCUUUGGGAACAGCCUGCGUCCGAUUAGCUAGUUGGUAGUGUAAUGGACUACCAAGGCGAUGAUCGGUAGCUGGUCUGAGAGGAUGAUCAGCCAGACUGGGACUGAGACACGGCCCAGACUCCUACGGGAGGUAGCAGUGGGGAAUAUUGCACAAUGGGCGCAAGCCUGAUGCAGCAACGCCGCGUGAGGGAUGAAGGCCUUCGGGUUGUAAACCUCUUUUAGCAGGGAAGAAGCGAAAGUGACGGUACCUGCAGAAAAAGCACCGGCUAACUACGUGCCAGCCGCCGCAGUAA